rnacentral:rRNA from 1 species
AAGAACUUUGAAAAGAGAGUUAAAUAGUGCUUGAAAUUGCUGUAAGGGAAGGGGUUGGCACCAGUGUGGGGCCCUCAAUGUUGCGCGGCCGGUUCGGUUGCGCGUGUUGUGGGCGCCGGUCAGCAUCGGUUCGCCGUGCGGGAGAUCGUUCUCGGGGAGGUUGCCAGGCUUCGGUCCGCCGUUGUGUCUGGUGUAUACCCGGGUGUCGUGCCGCGUGGGGGACUGGCAGGGAAUCGUCGAAGCCGAAGCCGCUCUGUGAAGGUGGCGCCCGUCACAGCACGCUGUAGCGGGUUGACCGUCCGGAUCACGCGGUGGGGUGGAGGCGUCCAGAAUGCUGUCGAAAUGGUUCCAACUCGCCCGUCUGGAAACACGGACCAAGGAGUCUA